GACGAACGCUGGCGGCGUGCUUAACACAUGCAAGUCGAACGGAAAGGCCCUGCUUGCAGGGUACUCGAGUGGCGAACGGGUGAGUAACACGUGGGUGAUCUGCCCUGCACUUCGGGAUAAGCUUGGGAAACUGGGUCUAAUACCGGAUAGGACCGCACUUUAGUGUGUGUGGUGGAAAGUUUUUUCGGUGUAGGAUGAGCUCGCGGCCUAUCAGCUUGUUGGUGGGGUAAUGGCCUACCAAGGCGGCGACGGGUAGCCGGCCUGAGAGGGUGUACGGCCACAUUGGGACUGAGAUACGGCCCAGACUCCUACGGGAGGCAGCAGUGGGGAAUAUUGCACAAUGGGCGCCAGCCUGAUGCAGCGACGCCGCGUGGGGGAUGAAGGCCUUCGGGUUGUAAACUCCUUUCGCUAGGGACGAAGCUUUUUGUGACGGUACCUAGAUAAGAAGCACCGGCUAACUACGUG
rnacentral:rRNA from 1 species